GGGAAACCGAGUCUUAACUGGGCGUCCAGUCGCAAGGCAUAGACCCGAAACCCGGUGAUCUAGCCAUGGGCAGGUUGAAGGUUGGGUAACACUAACUGGAGGACCGAACCGACUAAUUUUGAAAAAUUAGCGGAUGACUUGUGGCUGGGGGUGAAAGGCCAAUCAAACCGGGAGAUAGCUGGUUCUCCUCGAAAGCUAUUUAGGUAGCGCCUCGGACGAAUACCUUGGGGGGUAGAGCACUGUUUGGGCUAGGGGGU
rnacentral:rRNA from 1 species